AACGAAUGCUGGCGGCAGGCUUAACACAUGCAAGUCGAGCGCCCCGCAAGGGGAGCGGCAGACGGGUGAGUAACGCGUGGGAACGUACCCUUUGCUACGGAAUAGCUCCGGGAAACUGGAAUUAAUACCGUAUGUGCCCUACGGGGGAAAGAUUUAUCGGCAAAGGAUCGGCCCGCGUUGGAUUAGCUAGUUGGUGGGGUAAUGGCCAACCAAGGCGACGAUCCAUAGCUGGUCUGAGAGGAUGAUCAGCCACAUUGGGACUGAGACACGGCCCAAACUCCUACGGGAGGCAGCAGUGGGGAAUAUUGGACAAUGGGCGCAAGCCUGAUCCAGCCAUGCCGCGUGAGUGAUGAAGGCCUUAGGGUUGUAAAGCUCUUUCACCGGAGAAGAUAAUGACGGUAUCCGGAGAAGAAGCCCCGGCUAACUUCGUGCCAGCCGCCGCAGUAAGAC
rnacentral:rRNA from 1 species